AAAUAUUGAAAUAUAUUUAAAAUAUUAUUGUAAAAUAUUAAAUAAUUAUUCACAAAGUGUUUUUUUAAUAUUUCAAGGUGUUAAAUAUAAAAAUUUGAUUUUGGAAGUGUUAGCAAUUUGGGUAGUUCUAUAGAAUAAAUUUUCAUUUUAAAAUUUUAGAAAAAUUUUUUUUAAGUGAAUUUUAUUUUGAGUUGAAAAUUUUAUAAAUUCUUUUUGUUGAGAAUUUUUUUUUUUAAUUUUCACCUUUAAGCUUGGUUUUUAGCGGGUGGAGAAUCAAAAACCAAAAGUGGAACCCGCCAUCAAUUUAAAUACCUUUGACUGUCACGCAUCAUAACCUUUAGAUAGAGCCAUAAAACGUUUUUACUUCACUUCCUUACUAUAUGCAACCAGGUGUAUGGAAACAAAUUAAAGUUAAGCUAAUAACAAUAAAAGAUUUAAUAUUUUUUUUAAACAAACUGAAACAAAAGUACAACUAAUGGAUACAACUUUAUUUUUCCUGUAAUUAAUUUUUUUCUUUAAUUUCCGUUUAUAAUCCAGCAUUAAUUUGAUCAUUGCAAUUGCAUCUGAAUAUUUGUGUUUAGAAUAUAUUUAUGAAUUUUGUUUUCAUAUCGCAAACAGGACUUUUUGUUUUACUAAAUUAUUAACAAAUGCAGUAGUUACUCUAAAAGGAGGGCACAUAAAUAAGGAGUAGGAAUAUAUAAAUUAAAAGAAUAAAACUUUUGAAUCAUAUUCUUUGUUCAAGAAGAAUAAAAUGUACAAAAGAAACAUCUACAUACAUAUUUAAAAAUCCAGAGUUGGAAAUCUUGAAAAGAACAACUUUAAAAAAAAAAAAAAUAAAUCAUACCAAAAAGAACACUUCAUUUUCUAAGAAAUUAAUUGUGAAAAGUUGCUGAUUCCAGUUAAAGAAUUAUUUUGCAUCUAAAAGAUCAUUUGGUAAUGAAUUGAAAUUGAAAUGAUAAUUAUCAAAACACAAAUCUUAUCUUACUACAUCAUACAUUAAUUUAGUUAUAUAAUUAUUUUCUUCAAAAUUUUUAAUUACUUUUUCAAAACCAAUUACGAAUUAUACAACAAAUAGUUAAUAAAAUUUCAAAAUAGUUCCUGAAUUAUUUAUGCUGUUACAAGAAUUAUCGUCCUUCAAAUAACAAACUAAACACAUUUAUUGUACAUUCAAAAUUAGAAACUUAUCAUUACAGUAUAAAAAUCCAGCAAACCUCUAUAAACAACAGCAAAAUACUACGUAUAUAUAUAGUUCCUAAUAGGAGAGAAAAAAUUUAUUACAACAGUUCCAAAAAGCAAGUACUACAUAAGAUAAGAAAUAUAAAUAUGAGGUACAACAUUAAAUAUUUUAAAAUAUUUUUGUAUUUAAAGUGAAUCGAGAACAAGAUACCGGAUUAUAAAUAAAAUAUAUUUGAAAUAUAAAAUACAUAUGAGAAAUAAUAUGCAGUUACACCCAUAGGAUGAAAUAGAAAGGACAAUAGAGAGGGCAAACAAACCAAAAAAUAUAAUAAUAUUCCUGGAAAAUUGAUCGCUUUCCUAAAAUUAUCCUUCAGCUUACCUACUUUUUAAAUUUUUGUUAAAAAUUCAUACGUUAUUUUGCACCCAAAAUGUACAAUAACCACAAUAUAUAUGCAUUCAUAUAUAAAAAGCAUAUAAUAUAAAUGAGUAAAUAAGAAUAACAACAGGAUAAUAAGGAUAAUACAUCAUAAAUAAUAUUAAAAUAUUUUUGUAAUAUAAAUUAUAUAGAGUUUUAAAAAUAUUAUUCAAGUACAUAUAAUUUUUAUCAUAGAAAAUAUAUUUUUGGACACAACGCCAAAACAUUUUGGACUUCAUAUUAUAUAAAAAAAAAAAAAAAUUUAUUAUAAUCACACAUUUUGGAUAUCGUGAUUUUAGAAAAUUAUAUACAAGAUACACAAAAUAAAUUUGUGGUUUUUUUCCACCAAUAAAACUGUGAAUGAUAAUAAUAAAAAAAAAUAUUUAAUGUUAUUAGAUAAAUUAGAUCCUUAAAUAUUAUUAUUGUAAAUUAUCCUUGAGAAUUUUAUUAUUAAAAAUAUUAAAAAAUUUAGUGUAAUUGGUUCACAUACAAAUUAUAUGACUUUUUUGUUUUAAAAUAUUUUACGGUUUUAAGUUUUAUUAUACAAAGACAACCCUAUAAAUAUAUAUAUGUAUAUAUUUAUAAGAGAAAUAAAUUAAAAUU